CAUCUCGCUAUUGGCCAUCGCUCGUCACAUGUAAGCGAACCGGGGGGGGCAGUCGUGAGUCGGGAGAGUGGAAGAGAGAGAGGGGAAGAGAGAAGGGGGAGAGGGAGAGAGAGUGUGUGUGUGUGGGAGAGUGCAUUUAAAAAAAACAUGUUAUAUUAAUAAACAGUACUAUAUAAUAAUUAUCAUCAUCAUCAUCACCUUCAUCAUUGUCAUCCGCAGUAGUAACAAUUCAUGUUAUAUUAGCAGUGUCAACAACUUAGACGCGCGCACGCGCGCACAAGGCAGGAACGAGCGACUGUCACGCGCACACGGAGAGAGACGAGAGAGACCGUCGAGACGACAAACAGUUUAAUUUCUCAACUACAACUUUCACAACAACAACGACCAUCGACCAAUCAACCCAGAACAACAGAUUGGCGUAAACAGGACCGGAGGAGAUCGCGAGUCGAGCGCUCGAAUCGAGAGAGAGAGAGAACGGAGAGACACCGCGACGGGAAGAGAGGGGAGAGACAGAGAGAGAGAACGCAGACAAAAGCCAGCGCCACAGACGGGCGAGCGAGCGAAGCGAAAGGAGAAAGGAGAGAGCGAGCGAGACGAGACGGAACAAGCGGACAGCCCUACUUUACCCGAUUGAACAUGAUGAGUUCGUACUUAAUGAACAGGAGCUACGUGGAACCAAAAUUCCCGCCGUGCGAGGAAUACUCCCAGAGUAGCUACAUCUCCGAGGGUCCUGCCGUAGAGUUCUUCGCGAGCGAGAGGCGCGGUCUCGAAUGCGCCCCGGGCGGACCGGGCAGCUAUCAAAGUUGCGACGGAGUCGUGGACUCGAGUCCACCGAGGAGCGGGGUCAUCCCACCCCUCGUCCCGCCGCCGCCUACGACCCGUGGCCCGAGUCUGACCCCUAACCUCGACUCGACCCCGAGCGCUCCGGCAACGGCCGCCGCGGUCGUCGCUUCGACGGCGGCGGCGGCGGCUGCGGCGGCGGCUGCGGCGGCGGCGGCUCUGGGGGUCUCCUCGACCCCACGGGGUCGGGAGUCGGGAGCAGGGGCUGAGACUCGGGGAGCCAUGAGGGCUCGAGAGGGUGGAGGAGGAGGAGGUGGCGGUGGUGACAGGCGAAGGGACUCGCCCGAGAGGAUGGCGACCCCCGUGGUUUACCCGUGGAUGAAGAAGAUUCAUGUCGGUGGUGGAGGCGCGGUCGACUCCGAGACCCAGGGACACGAGACCAAACGGGCGCGCACGGCCUACACGCGUCAGCAGGUGCUGGAGCUCGAGAAGGAGUUCCACUUCAACCGCUACCUCACGCGGCGGCGCCGCCUGGAGAUCGCUCACUCGCUGGCGCUGAGCGAGCGCCAGGUCAAGAUCUGGUUCCAGAACCGGAGGAUGAAGUGGAAGAAAGACCACAAACUGCCCAACACCAAGAUGAGGCCGGGUCCUCCCGGACUUCCCCAGGGUCUGUCUCAUCGCCCCGACUGCAGUAGAACAUAAAUAAUUACAGAUGAAAUGAAGACAGAGAAAGAGAGAGCUAUAGACAGAUUCCCCUGCGUGCGUUGUUUGCGAAUGCUUGUUUUAUUUUGAGGAGUUAGGCCCAGCCUGGUCCUAUAGAUCCAAUCCUCCUUUCCUACAUAGUGGCGGCCGCCAUUUUGUUUUGAGUGGCAUUAAAAAAUGGGAACCAACUCAGGAGUUGGGGGGGGGGGGAUAAACAUUUUGAGUUGGCUACAACGAAAGACGUGGUGCGUGUGUGUGUGUGUGUACAUUGCCAGACAAAGGUGGCCGCGCUUGGCGCUGGCCACCCACCCUCCCUCGUGUGCUAUGCCAGGCCUUCGUAGGGUGCCUCGCUAAAAGCACUUGCCCCAACGGUCAUGUUAAAGGCAAUACGGGAGAUAUUUUUUUGUGGGUUAUUCACCUUGCCUGGCAGUAGGGCUGACAUUUGCCCGUCACUUGGUGGCGAAAAGGGCGAGCGGUUGUUGUUUGUUGUUAUUGGCUGCACCUAGCCUGGCACCAGCACCGUGGUGCGAUCGCUUUAUUUUCUUGGCGAUCGGCGGGCUGUUGCGAACAGCCGUUGGUGAAUUGAGUAUGCAAAGGGGGAUAUUUGCCGUCACCCUGCAAAUCAAUCGGAUAGCUUGGAUGAGAGGUCGAAUCCAUUGUUCUGAGGGUUUGUAUGAUAUAAUAUGGUUCUAGUAGGGGUGUAACGAUCGACCGAUUGCAACUCAAACCUCUGGACCCCUACCCUGGAACCCUGAUUAAAUGUCAAUGCAGGACCGUGGAUACAUCCAAUCGACGAUCA